rnacentral:hammerhead_ribozyme from 1 species
AUCCAGCUGACGAGUCACAAACAGGAUGAGACACACGUCCUGGAU